CAACUUGGAAAGUUUAAAAAAGUUUAUUUUGUCAACUUUUAUUAUCGAAAAAUAUCACUCCAUCCGUAUAAUAAUAAAUUGAAUCAAAAUUUGGUAACGUCGGUUUAACUAGAAUUUCCAUUUUCUUGGCACAUUUAAUGCGUAAGAUCCUUGAUUCUUUCAGAAACGGUUCGUUUGACUACAAAAGAGCGCCACUCUUCAUAUUUCUUCGUCCUCCUCUAUCUCUCGGCUAUCGCAUCAACCUUUGUUUUCUUGAUCGGUGUUCGUUCUCUUGAUCUUUUUCUUUGUCUAGAUCCAAUAUACACAUGCCUUUCUAUAGGGUUUCAAACACGUUAUACGUUGAUGUUCUUUCCAUGGUUAUUAGAUGUUUUCUCCGGUUUCCAAAGCAAACUAAUUUGUAGAAAUUGGCGACAGUGGAAGAAGCCGAUGAUGUCGAAGAGUUUUCUCCCAUGGCUUGGGGCUUCCAUCAAAAAGCUACAGAGGGAGAAGGGGCAUAUUGAGUUAAGAAGUAUAGACAAAGAUGCUUCCAUGGAUCCAAUCAAAGUGGCUUUGAAACGAUCAUUGUUUUUUUGCUCAGUAUUGUUUAAUUGUUACUAUUUUGUCAAUGGGGAGGGAGGGUUUUAUUUUUGCCCAAACUUCAGUAGACUAUGUGAAGGAAGGUAUAAAUCCAAAUUUACCUUUUUGCCCAUUUGUAUUUAUUUUUGCUCUCAUUGACAAUGUAAGACACAACUGAGUGAUACUAAACAUCUGUAUAUUUUGUUGUAUGAUCUUAUUUUUUCUUUUUCUUAUUAAGAAAUUUUACAUUAUAAUUUUUUUUUUGUUCGUAUCAAGACAUUUUAUUUUGAAAAAUCUACCAAUUUUUGCACUGUACUUCUAAUUUUCUUAUUAUAAGCACAUUUUUCUAUGAAAAAUCAACCCACUUAAAGCAUUGUACUUUUCUGUUUUCUUUUGGUUGCAUCUUUGUAUUUUUCAAAAUUUUCUUAUCAACACAUUUUAAUCUAAAAAAUAUUUACUUUUUUUUUCUAUAUCAAAUUUUCUUAUCAAAACAUUUUAAUGUAAAAUUCAUCACUUUUACUUUUUUUAUAAGCACUUUUCUCUAUGUAAAAAUCAAUCCAAUUAAAGCAUUUUGUUUUUCCGUUUUCUUGUAUUUAAAUGUUAAUUCUUUUCCCAACAUUGUACUUUAAAAAAUCUUUACAAGGCAUUUAAUCUGAAAAAUCUACGAUUUAAUUCUAUUUAAGAAAUCAACCUAAUUAUAGUACUGUGUGUUUCCGUUUUUUUUUGUUACAACUUUGUAUUUUUAAAUUUUUUUUUGUUAUCAAGACAUUCUUAGCAUUGUACUUUUAGUUUGAAAAUUCGAGCAUUUUUAGCAUUAUACUUUUAGUUUUCUUUUAUAAGCACAUUUCUGUUAAAACUUUUUUUUUGUUUUUUUUUUUUAUUUAUUUCAUAUCAGUUAUUCUACUUCAAACAUUCUUUACAUUUUAUUCUUCUCUAGGCAUUUUACUUUAAAAAUUCUAUCAAUUAUAGCAUUGUACUUUCAGUAUCUUUUUAAUAUAAGCACAUUUCUCUAUGAAAAAUCAAUCGGUUAAAGCAUUGUACUUUUCCUUUUUGUUUUUAUUAGAACUUUUUAUUUUUCAAAAUUUUCCUUAUCAAGGCAAUUUACUUUAAAAAAUAUUUACUUUUUUUUCAAGAUAUUUUACUUUGUAAAAUCAACAAACUAUAGCUUUGUAAUUUCAGUUUUCUUAUUAUAAGAACAUUUCUCUUUGUAAAUAUAGCAUUGUACUUGUAGUUUUCUUAUGAUAAGUACAUUUCUUUUUGAAAAAUUAAUCCAAUGUAAUCAAGGCAUUUUACUUUGAAACAUCUACCAUCUAUAGCAUUCUACUAUCAGUUUCUUAUUUUAAGCAUAUUUGUUUAUAAAAAGUUAAGGCAUUGCACUUUUCUGUUUUACUUCUGCUACAACUUAUGUAUUUUUUAAAUAUUUUCUUAUCAAGACUUUCUUACUUUAAAAUAACUUUGCAUUUUUUUCUUUCUAAUCUAAGCAUUUUACUCUGAAAAAACUACCAAUUGUAGCAUCACCUUUUUUCAGCACAUUUCUCUAUGAAAAAACAACCAAAUUAAAGCAUUACAUUUUUUUUGUUUUCUUUCUGUUACAACUUUGUAUUUUUCAUAUUUUUUCUUUUCAAUACAUUUUACUCUAAAAAAUCUCUAUUUUUUUCUUAUAUACACUAAUCGCUUUAAAAAUUCUACGAACUAUACCACUGUUCUUUCAGUUUUUUUUUUUCUACAACUUUGUAUUUUUCAAAUUUUUUUUCCUUAUCAAGACAUUUUACCUUAAAAAAUCUAUACAUUUUUUUUCCUUAUCUAGGUAUUUUACUUUGAAGAAUCUACCAAUUAAAUUAAAGCAUUGCACCUUUUCUUUUUGUAUUUAUUACAAGUUUGUAUUUUCUUAUCAAGACAUUUAACUUUGAAGUUUUUUCCAAAUAUAGCAUUGUACUUUCAGUUUUCUUAUUAUAAAGCAUAUUUCUUCUAAAAUUUCAACCCAAUAAAGCAUUUCUUAUUAAGACAUUUUACAUUAAAAAAUCUUUACUUUUUAUUCUUAUUAAUGGUUUCCACUUUGAAAAAUAUACCAGUUAUAGCAUUGUAGUUUUAGUUUUCUUAUUAUAACCAUAUUUCUUUUUGAAAACUCAAUCCAUUUAAAGCAUUGCACUUUUUCACGCAUUUAAUUUGAAAAAUAUACUGUUUAUAGCAUUGUACUUUCUGUUUUUUUAAUAUGAGGACUUUUCUUUAUAAAUAGUCAACACAAUUUAAGUAUUGAAAUUUUUUGUUUCCUUUCUAUUACAAGUUUCUAUUUUUCAAAACAUUUUACUUUAAAAACACCUAACAUUUUUUUUUCUUAUCUUAACAAUUUACUUUGAAAAAUCUACCAAUUAUUGCAUUGUACUUUGAAAAAUCUUUACAUUUUGUUUUUAUUCUCUAAACAUUGUACUUUGAAAAAUGUACCGAUUAUAGUAUUGCACUUUCAGUUUUCUUGUUAUAAGCAUAUUUCUUUUUGUAAAUUCAUUCCAAUUAAAGCGUUGCACUUUUUCCUUAUCUAGGUAUUUUACUUGAGAAAUCUAUCAAUUAUAAGUUUUCUUAGUGUAAGGACAUUGCUCUUUGAAAAAUCAACCCAGUUAAAUUAAAGCAUUGCAACUUUUCUUUUGUCUUUUUAUUACAACUUUGUAUUUUUCUUAUCAAGACAUUUUACUCUGAAUUUUUUUUCCAAAUAUAGCAUUGUACUUUCAGUUUUCUUGUUAUAAAGCAUAUAUCUUUUUAAAAUUUCAACUCAAUAAAGCGUUUCUUAUCAAGACAUUUUACAUUAAAAAAUUCUUACUUUUGAUUAUUAUCAAUGCUUUUUACUUUGAAAAAUAUACCAUUUAUAGCAUUGUAGUUUUAGUUUUCUUAUUAUAAGCAUAUUUCUCUAUGAACUCUCAAUCCAUUUAAAGCAUUGCACUUUUUUCAGGCAUUUAAUAUGAAAAAUGUACUGUUUAUAGCAUUGUACUUUCUGUUUUAUUUGUUUAUUUUAUUUUUUUAUAUGAGGACUUUUCUUUAUAAAUAGUCGACGUAAUUAAAGUAUUGAACUUUUUUGUUUACUUUCUAUUACAAAUUUCUCUUUUUCAAAACAUUUUACUGUAAAAACACCUUACAUUUAUUUCUUAUCUUAACAUUUUAUUUUGAAAAAUCUACCAAUUAUAGCAUUGUACUUUUAGUUUUAUUCUUCUAAGCACAGUCCCCUUUAAAAAAUUAACCUAAUUAAAACAUUGCAGUUUUUCAUUUACUUUGUGUUGCAACUUUGUAUUUUUCAAAAAGAUUCUUAUCAUGACAUCUUACAAAAAAAUCUUUACAUUUUACUUUAAAGAAUCUACCAUUUAAUCAUUUCUAACAUUGUAAUUUCUCACUUUCUGUUACAACUUUGUUUUUUUUCAUUCAUGGCAUUUUACAUAUUUUUUUCUUUAAACAUUUUAUUUUGAAAAAUCUACCGAUUAUAACAUUAUACUUUUAGUUUUCGUAUUAUAAGAACAUUUCUCUUUGAAAAAUCAAACCAAUUAAAGCAUUGCACUUUUUCGUUUUCUUUGUGUUACAACUUAGUUACAACUUUGUAUUUUUAAUUUUUUUUUCUUAUCAAGUGAUUUUACUUUGAAAAAUCUACCAAUUAUAGCUUUGUACUUUUAGUUUUCAUAUUAUAAGCACAUUUCUUUAUGAAAAAACAACCAAUUAAAGCAUUUGCACUUUUUCGUUUGCAGUCUAUUACGAAUUUGUAUUUUUCAAAUUUUUUCUUAUCAAGAAAUUUUACGUUAAGAUAAGUAUACUUUUUUUUUUCGUAUCAACGUUCUUUACUUUGAAAAUUCUACAAAUUUUAGCAUUGUACUUUUAAUUUUCUUGUUAUGUGCACAUUUCUCUUUUUAAAAAUCAAUCCAAUUAAAGCAUUGCAUUUUUGCGUUUGUUUUAGGAUACAUCUUUUGUAUUUUUUUUCUUAUCAACAUAUUUUACUAUAAAAAUCACUUACUUUUUUUCUUCUAAUCUAGGCAUUUUACUUUGACAAAUGUACCAUUUAUAAAAAUUCCUCUUUGAAAAUUCAACCCAGUUAAAGCAUUGUACUUUUUGUUUUCCUUUUAUUACAACUUGACUUAAUACACUUUAUGAGUUUAGCACUUAGUCUGUACAUAAUCAUGACUUAAUGGGUUAAGCCACAAAAAUCUUACUUGAUAUAUCAAGACACUACAAAUCAUCUUUCAAUUAAAUUAUUAUGGUUAUCAUGAUCACACUACACUUAAUGUGAUCAGGAAUUUCUGUAUUCCCUUUUAUGUUUCUCUACAUUUUAUUUGUUUUCUGUUAAAUGUCAUGGCUUUAUAAUUUAGUUGUUGAGUGGAAUAUAUAUGCAGAUCUACAUGCUAAUUUGACCUAGAAAAUCCUGGUUUUCAUAGUUUUGGUUUAUUUUCAACUAUUAUAUUCGCAUAUUCAAUUGACAGAUUUUAUCUUUUAUGAUAUUACAUGUCUGUGCACAUCAUGCUUUGGUUUGUCAAUUGGUCUUGUUCUUGAUUCUUCUUUAGAUUGAACUUUCCCAGGGAUUUAGUUUUUGAAAGACAAAGGUUCCAUAUAUGGUUUUUUUCUUACUUUGAAAAUUAGGGUCUUUGAGUUUCUUGUUUUUCAUUUUGUCCUUUGCUUACAACUGAAUUAGUCUUGGAACCCUUUGCCUUUAUUCAUUUGUGAUUCUUUUGCUUGUUGAUUGAUCUUAUUCUUGAUUCUUAUUAUGUUUAUUGCUCGAGUUUCUUGAGGUAUCAUCGUAUUUAGUUUUGGGGCUUCUUUUCGCUUUAAACUGUUUUUUUUACUAGGACAAUCAAAGGGAUAUUAUCUCACUAUAUUAAUUUGUCUCUUUAUUUGAUAUAAUGUAAUAUCUAACUGUAUUUUUUUUUUGUCAGAAAGUGGGUAGUCUAAAAUAUGUCUCUUAAUUUAUUAAUAAUAAUACUUAGUAUUAUAGGGUCUAAAGUGUAAAUGCAUUAAUUAUAUGUUUUCUCUCAUGUAUACGUGAUUUACAUUCAAUACAAUACACAUUUCUCUAUGAAAAAUCAACCAAAUUAAAGCAUUGCACAUUUUUGUUUUCUUUCAGUUACAACUUUGUAUUUUUCAUAUUUUUUCUUUUCAAUACAUUUUACUUCAAAAAAUAGUUCCAAUUUUUUUCUUAUCUAUGCAUCAUACUUUGAAAAUUCUACCAUCACACUUUUCGUUUUCUUUUUAUUACAACUUUGUAUUUUUUGAAAAGAUUCUUUGUAUUUUUUGUAGUCAUAUCCUAAUUGAAGUAGUCUAGGCAUAAGAUAUCUACAUAGAAAACGUAUACUAGAUAUACAACCCGUGAUGAAUUAUAAAGUAAAAUAAGUUUUAGUAAAGCAACCUACAAACAAGAAAGAACAUUUUCACAUGAAGAGUGGCAAGGUCGGCAAGUAAAACAUGGUUAAACACACAAGUAGUGGAAGCAGAUAGACAUAUACUAGAUCGAUAUACAUGUUGAAAAUAAAAUAGUCAAACAAAAGAAGAAUAUGUAAACUAGCCCACAUGCACUACAAAUGGUGGAAGCUAGACCCUAAAUUAUAUUAGUAGUACUAUUCUAUCCUGAUUCUAAGUCUAUACUUUUUCUAUUUGAGAUCAUGUCUCUGGUAAAGGCUAACUCCUCUAAGUGUAACUCCACGCUAUCUUCUCACUUUCUGCUUGGUUGUCCUUUUUUCCUCGUACCCGUGACUAUAAUCGACUCCACCCUCCUAACAACAAUCAGUUGUCUGCUAUAGAUAUGUCUAAACCACCAUAAUUUUCCUUUCCUCAUUUUUUCGAUGAUCGUCGCCAGUCCUAAUGAUUUAUCUAAUAGUCGUGUUUGAUAUCAUGUGUAACAAUGUUCUACCACAUGUCAACCACAACAUUCUCAUGUAUGUGACCUCUAUCAUCCUCUUGUUCCUUCUUGAUCGGCUAACAUUCGCAUCCAUACAACAAUGUUGACAUUAUCACAACCUUAUAAAAUUUUCCCUUGAGUUUCAAUGGUACCUUCUUGUCACACAAGACUUCUGUCGUCGCUGCCUUCCACUUUAACCAUUUAGCAUUUAGUCUUAAUGUGACGUGUAAUGUCAUCCCCCACACCCCUAUCUUUAUGGAUCAUAUGUUAGAAAUAUGGGGUAAAUAAAUUGUUUGGAUUCUCUGAAAGUCAUGAAACACUCUCAAGUUCAGUAUUUCGAUGGUAUAGGUUGAAUCCUAGAUUGGAUAAGAGAUUUUAGAAUUGAGAGAAUGUGGGUAAAUAAAUUGCUCUACUUACGCAUAUUUGCAAUUCAAUCAUUCUUUAUUUCAAUGGCAAGGGCAUGCUAUUGAAGAGAUCACCUUAUCAGUGUGAUUCUUGAUUAUGAGAUUCCAAAGGAGUAUGUACUUGUAGGUAGGUUGUUUAAGGGGAACACAUUCAGAUUGUGUCUUCCACAUGAUUGACACAAUGACUUUUAUGGGUUCUUAAUACACGUUACCCACGAUGGAUGUCCGGAUAUUAAAAUAACCAUUAAGGAGGAGAAGCCAGAUGAAGAUCUUCCAUUUAGGUUUUCGCAUGAGUCUAAUUAUAAUGCAAUGGACCGUUGCCGAAUAAUAUCCACAUAUGUGGGAUAUGUUUCCUUUAAUUCAUUGAGGCUCAUUGCGUGCUUGAACUUGAAUUCAAUAUACAGUGUGAUUUUAGUUUCCUUGCGUCAGAGUUGGAGUACUGCUUCUCAAGCUGCAAAUCGAAUAGGAGUUUCACUCGUUCCUAAAACAAAACGUAAAGAUGAUCCAGUGAAAACAGCAAAAGAUUCCUCUGAAUUUGGGGACGAGAAAGAUAAAUCUGGUCCCAUUUUUGCGAUUAAACAUGGUUCAAAGUCAUCUAUUAAGAUCUUGUGGCGACCUCUUAAUUAGGAUUUAGGACAACAACGUCGAGUAAAUCGGACAAUAGGGGCAUAUUAAUGCUCAUUACAAGAAAACCGGACAAUAGGGGCAUAUUAAUGCUCACUACAAGAAAACCAGACAAUAGGGGCAUAUUAAUGCUCACUACAAGAAAACCGGACAAUAGGGCCAUAUUAAUGCUCACUGCAAGAAAACCGGACAAUAAGGGCAUACUAAUGAUAAUCUUUGGGUAUUAUGUAGCCUUGUUACAAAAAAGAAACAAUUGCCUUUUUGAUGGGUUAUUAUUUCCUGAAAA